rnacentral:rRNA from 1 species
UAAGGAAUAUUGGUCAAUGGGCGGAAGCCUGAACCAGCCAUGCCGCGUGCAGGAAGACGGCCCUACGGGUUGUAAACUGCUUUUAUACCGGAAUAAACCUCUUUACGUGUAAGGAGCUGAAUGUACGGUAAGAAUAAGGAUCGGCUAACUCCGUGCCAGCAGCCGCGGUAAUACGGAGGAUCCAAGCGUUAUCCGGAUUUAUUGGGUUUAAAGGGUGCGUAGGCGGCCUAUUAAGUCAGGGGUGAAAGACGGUAGCUUAACUAUCGCAGUGCCUUUGAUACUGAUGGGCUUGAAUGUACUUGAAGUAGGCGGAAUGUGACAAGUAGCGGUGAAAUGCAUAGAUAUGUCACAGAACACCGAUUGCGAAGGCAGCUUACUAAAGUAUGAUUGACGCUGAGGCACGAAAGCGUGGGGAUCAAACAGGAUUAGAUACCCCCGUAGUCC